rnacentral:rRNA from 1 species
AGCGAACGCUGGCGGCAGGCCUAACACAUGCAAGUCGAACGGAUCCUUCGGGAUUAGUGGCGGACGGGUGAGUAACACGUGGGAACGUGCCCUUUGGUUCGGAACAACUCAGGGAAACUUGAGCUAAUACCGGAUGUGCCCUUCGGGGGAAAGAUUUAUCGCCAUUGGAGCGGCCCGCGUCUGAUUAGCUAGUUGGUGGGGUAAAGGCCCACCAAGGCGACGAUCAGUAGCCGGUCCGAGAGGAUGAUCAGCCACAUUGGGACUGAGACACGGCCCGAACUCCUACGGGAGGCAGCAGUGGGGAAUCUUGCGCAAUGGGCUAAAGCCUGACGCGGCCAUGCCGCGUGAAUGAUGAAGGUCUUAGGAUUGUAAAAUUCUUUCACCGGGGACGAUAAUGACGGUACCCGGGGAAGAAGCCCCGGCUAACUUCGUGCCAGCAGCCGCGGUAA